UCCGAAAUACAUAUUUGAGAAAAUACAUAACCAGCCAGUGUUUAAAACUAUCUGCUUGCCUUACCUCGAUUCAAAGCGGUAAGCUUGUAAUAAUGUUUUUAAUUCCAGUGGUACUGGUGGAUUUCCGCGGGAGAUUCGAGCAUGUCUUUGCGUCAUUACGUCACAUCUGUACACAUAAAGAAGGAGUCUCGGCUAGUAGGCUAUAUUGAGUCAUUACGUCACAUCUGUACACACACAUCUGUACACAUAAAGAAGGAUCCCGGCUAGUAGGCUAUAUUGCGUGUGAGGAUGUUGGAGGUGGAGAUUUAUAGCCUUUUCUCACAGCACUUGAUAUAAUUAAACUUAUCAAUUUGAUGGCGGAUCCAGAAAGGUUCAAACGACAAUCACCAGUGACAACAGAUUCACCCGCUGUAAAAUGCAAAAGACUUCGUUCGGACUUCGGAGUG